rnacentral:rRNA from 1 species
UACGAAGGGUGCAAGCGUUACUCGGAAUUACUGGGCGUAAAGCAUGCGUAGGCGGUUUGUUAAGUCUGUCGUGAAAGCCCCGGGCUCAACCUGGGAAUGGCGAUGGAAACUGGCGAGCUAGAGUACGGUAGAGGAGAGUGGAAUUCCCGGUGUAGCAGUGAAAUGCGUAGAGAUCGGGAGGAACAUCAGUUGCGAAGGCGGCUCUCUGGACCAGUACUGACGCUGAGGCACGAAAGCGUGGGGAGCAAACAGG